AUGAGCUAUUCACAAGACGAGAAGGCCAAUAUGUUUCUUGAGGAAAAUAGGCCAAGAGAGCUUUUUCAGAGAGAAGCUUCCUUGACAAAACCAAAUCUUCAGCGAGCUAGCCUCACACCUUUACUCACACCUUUGCGACCAGUUGAGAACAUUUACCACAAAGAAGCAGAAAAUGUAAAUCUUACGGAACACUGUAACUCAUCUCAUCCUUCCUGCACCCUGAAAGUAGAGGGAGCCAAAUCAAGAGACACUGCAGCCCAGCCUCAGAGGAUAUCACUUAGACGCCCUGCUCAGAAGGAUCUGAAGAAGAAAGAAAAACACCAUGUUCCCAUGAAAGCAAAGAGAUGCGCCACUUCUGUAAUCAGUGACAUUCCGCCUUCCAAAAAAAUGAAAGUGUAAGGAGACCCAAUCUUUUUUUUUUUUUUUUUUUUGAGACAGGAUUUCACUGCGUAGCCCAGGCUGGCCUUGAGCUCAAGCCAGUCCUCUUGCCUUAGCCUCCCGAGUGCUGGGAUUACAGGUGUGCACCACCAUGCCCACCUCAUCUACAUACUUCUUAUUGCUAAAGGCAGAUAUACUGUGCUUUGUAUACCACCUGUAUGUUAAAUUUCUUGCCUGAAUUUAAACUUUGGAGUGAACUGAGUAGAAUUACAGCUGGGUACAUCUUCAGCCUGGUGCACCCAGGGCUUGGGAAGCUCCUUAAGCUGUGACCAUGACGAGUUGUUACCUGUGUCGUGGAGGGUGAUUCCCCUUAGUGGACCCAGGUUUUACCUGUUUAUUUCUGUGGCUAAGGACAAGACAAAUAUAUGGUAUCUUUUCCUGUUUUUAUCAGUUAGGAAUCUUGAGGCAAACAGUAUUCACCUAGAGUGUUUAAAUAGUAGUGACUUGUUUUGCUUCAUGAAAGUUCACAGAUAGUUUACGGCUUGCUUUGGUUGACUUGCUGAGUGAUGCCAAGCUAUCUUCUGUGAUACUGAGCUGUUUUUUUUUUUUUAAGUACUUGUUGUUUAAGAUGGCUGCUCCAUGGCUUUUCUUAGCUUUUUCCUUUGGCUUGUUUGUUUUGAGACAGGAUCUUGCUAUGUAGUCCAGGCUGGUCUUGAACUCAAUGGAACAUCGCUCCUCCUGUCUCAGCCUCCCAAAGUGGUGGGACUACAGGCAUGUGCCACCGUGCCAGGCUUCCUUUGACUUCUGAUUCACUGUCACAAGAUAACUGCUAUAUCUGUGGGCAUAACAUCCAUCUUCAAGACAAAAAUGAAUGUAUGAUAAAGUGAAAUCACACUUUCCCCUCAAGAAAGUGAAAUUGCAGGGCAUGGUAGUAUCCCUCUGUAAUCCCACUGCUCUUAGCUUUGAAUUAGUCUUUC
rnacentral:lncRNA from 1 species